GCUGGGCAUGGUGGUGCAUGCCUGUAAUCCCAGCUACCUGGGAGGCUGAGACAGGAGAAUCACUUGAACCCGGGAGGCAGAGUUUGCAGUGAGCCGAGAGUAUGCCACUAUUCUGCAGCCUGGGUGACAUAGUGAGACUCCGUCUCAA
rnacentral:SRP_RNA from 1 species